GACGAACGCUGGCGGCGUGCUUAACACAUGCAAGUCGAACGAAGUGGCGAACGGGUGAGUAACGCGUAAUCAACCUGCCCUUCAGAGGGGGACAACAGGUGGAAACGACUGCUAAUACCGCAUACUGAAGGAGGGGAUUGCGUCUGAUUCGCUGGUUGGGGGGGUAACGGCCCACCAAGGCGAUGAUCAGUAGCCGGUCUGGGUGGGUGAACGGCCACAUUGGGACUGAGACACGGCCCAGACUCCUACGGGAGGCAGCAGUGGGGAAUCUUCCGCAAUGGACGGAAGUCUGACGGCGCAACGCCGCGUGAGUGAUGACGGCCUUCGGGUUGUAAAGCUCUGUUAAUCGGGACGCGGUACCGAAAUAGAAAGCCACGGCUAACUACGUGCCAGCCGCCGCGGUAAUUC
rnacentral:rRNA from 1 species